AGCUACGGCCACACCGCCUGGUUCACGCCCGAUCUCGUUGAUCUCGGAAGCUAAGAUAGGUUGGGCCUGGUUAGUACUUGGAUGGGAGACCGCCUGGGAAUACCAGGUGCUGUAACUU
rnacentral:rRNA from 1 species